rnacentral:rRNA from 1 species
CAGCAGCCGCGGGAAUACAGAGGGUGCGAGCGUUAAUCGGAUUUACUGGGCGUAAAGCGUGCGUAGGCGGCUAAUUGAGUCGGAUGUGAAAUCCCCGAGCUUAACUUGGGAAUUGCAUUCGAUACUGGUUAGCUAGAGUGUGGGAGAGGAUGGUAGAAUUCCAGGUGUAGCGGUGAAAUGCGUAGAGAUCUGGAGGAAUACCGAUGGCGAAGGCAGCCAUCUGGCCUAACACUGACGCUGAGGUACGAAAGCAUGGGGAGCAAACAGGAUUAGAUACCAGUAGUCCCUGUCUCUUAUACAC